GGACCAGACUCCUACGGGAGGCAGCAGUGGGGAAUAUUGGGCAAUGGGCGCAAGCCUGACCCAGCGACGCCGCGUGAGGGAAGACGGUCUUCGGAUUGUAAACCUCCUUCAGCAGGGAAGACAAAAGGACGGUACCUGCAGAAGAAGCCACGGCUAACUCCGUGCCAGCAGCCGCGGUAAUACGGAGGAUGCGAGCGUUAUCCGGAUUCAUUGGGUUUAAAGGGUGCGCAGGCGGGCCUUUAAGCCGGGGGGAGAAGGCGGGGGGCCCACCCCCGCCGAGCCGUCGGAACUGGGGGCCUUGAGUGCGGCGGAGGCAUGCGGAAUGCGCGGUGUAGCGGUGAAAUGCAUAGAUAUCGCGCAGAACCCCGAUUGCGAAGGCAGCGUGCCGUGCCGCCACUGACGCUGAGGCACGAAAGCGCGGGGAUCGAACAGGAUUAGAUACCCUAGUA
rnacentral:rRNA from 1 species